CCUACGGGAGACAGCAGUGGGGAAUAUUGCACAAUGGGGGGAACCCUGAUGCAGCGACGCCGCGUGGGUGAAGGAGUAUUUCGGUAUGUAAAGCCCUAUCAGCAGGGAAGAACAAUGACGGUACCUGACUAAGAAGCACCGGCUAAAUACGUGCCAGCAGCCGCGGUAAUACGUAUGGUGCAAGCGUUAUCCGGAUUUACGGGGUGUAAAGGGAGCGCAGGCGGCGCGUUAAGCCUGGUGUGAAAGCCCGGGGCCCAACCGCGGGACUGCAUUGGGAACUGGCCAGCUGGAGUGCCGGAGGGGUAGGCGGAAUUCCUAGUGUAGCGGUGAAAUGCGUAGAUAUUAGGAGGAACACCAGUGGCGAAGGCGGCCUACUGGACGGUGACUGACGCUGAGGCUCGAAAGCGUGGGGAGCAAACAGGAUUAGAUACCCUUGUAGUC
rnacentral:rRNA from 1 species